rnacentral:rRNA from 1 species
AAAUAGAGCUUUGCAGAGAGAGUUAACAGGGCGUGAACCGUUAAUUCGGCUAACGAAUCGGAGCCACGAAGUCGUUUCGUUGAUAAGUUGGGCCAAGUUCAAUCUAGGAAUUCGUUCUUAGGUGUAUUCUUGUGUCUAACCUAAAAAUCAUUGUAAGCGUACACUGCAACCAGUUAGACGAUUGGUGAUGGGCACAGUUGAUCAACCGUUUACGGGAGGUUAACGAAGCGCUUGUCUACUUGAGUUAGUAGUAGCGUGGUGGCGUUUCGGCGUCAUUGUGUUGCUGGGCUUGAUGUAGGUGAACUAUUACCAAAUACUGACUGGCAAAAUGAAAAUCGUUUCUUAUGAAACGUUAUACAAAAUGCAGCUAACAACAUAGAUGUCUACAUGCUUGACCGUAAGGUUUAAGCUCAGCAUUUUUGAAUUUGGACUUGCUAGCUACCAAUGGGGCAACUCUUGGUGCUAGUAUAGCUUCCAUCUAAUCGGGUGUUGACUUGACUUUACGUCGUUUGAGUAUGAAUCGUUUGGGCGCUUAUGUUAGUAAGUUCGCAAUUGAAUUGGCAGUGAGUAGGUCGGCUUUCCGAACGACCCGUCUUGAAACACGGACCAAGGAGUCUAAUUAGGCAUCAGUCGAUCGGUCUUGAUUAGGCCAGACUAGUGAAUUCGUUCACUGAAUGAAGGCGUAGAGAAAUCAAAUCAUGUGAUCCAUUGGGCAAUACCAGCCCUUUGGCGCAACAUGUGCCUGUUCGUAUAGCGAUGUUAGCAAUAACUCGCUGGGCGGAGCAAAGAGAUGCCUGAUUGGUACCCGAAAGAUGGUGAACUAUGCCUGGGCAAAUUGAAGCCAGAGGAAACUCUGGUGGAGGAUUGUAGCGAUUCUGACGUGCAAAUCGAUCGUCAGACCUGGGUAUAGGGGCGAAAGACUAAUCGAACCAUC